CGGCCAGACUCCUACGGGAGGCAGCAGUGAGGAAUAUUGGUCAAUGGCCGAGAGGCUGAACCAGCCAAGUCGCGUGAGGGAAGACGGUCCUAUGGAUUGUAAACCUCUUUUGCCGGGGAGCAAAAAGCGGUACGUGUACCGCAUCGAGAGUACCCGGAGAAAAAGCAUCGGCUAACUCCGUGCCAGCAGCCGCGGUAAUACGGAGGAUGCGAGCGUUAUCCGGAUUUAUUGGGUUUAAAGGGUGCGUAGGCGGAAUGCCAAGUCAGCGGUAAAAUCGCGGGGCUCAACCUCGCUCCGCCGUUGAAACUGGCGUUCUUGAGUGGGCGAGAAGUAUGCGGAAUGCGUGGUGUAGCGGUGAAAUGCAUAGAUAUCACGCAGAACUCCGAUUGCGAAGGCAGCAUACCGGCGCCCAACUGACGCUGAAGCACGAAAGCGUGGGUAUCGAACAGGAUUAGAUACCCCAGUA
rnacentral:rRNA from 1 species